UACGUAGGGGGCUAGCGUUGUCCGGAAUCAUUGGGCGUAAAGCGCGUGUAGGCGGUUCGGUAAGUCCGCUGUGAAAGUCGGGGGCUCAACCCUCGGAUGCCGGUGGAUACUGUCGAGCUUGAGUACGGAAGAGGCGAGUGGAAUUCCUGGUGUAGCGGUGAAAUGCGCAGAUACCAGGAGGAACACCAAUUGCGAAGGCAGCUCGCUGGGACGUUACUGACGCUGAGACGCGAAAGCGUGGGGAGCAAACAGG
rnacentral:rRNA from 1 species